rnacentral:rRNA from 1 species
CGGACCGGCGGACGGGUGCGUAACGCGUAUGCAACCUGCCUGACACAGGGGGAUAAUCCGAAGAAAUUUGGUCUAAUACCCCAUAAUACCGAUAUAGGCAUCUAUGUUGGUUGAAAGCUUUGGUGGUGACAGAUGGGCAUGCGUUGUAUUAGCUAGUUGGUGAGGUAACGGCUCACCAAGGCGACGAUACAUAGGGGGACUGAGAGGUUAACCCCCCACACUGGUACUGAGACACGGACCAGACUCCUACGGGAGGCAGCAUG